UAGGCAAGGCACCCUCAUUGUCCUUGAUGAACAGCUGCUAGAAUGACUUGAUCACAUUAUUACCUUAUUUAAAACUCUAGCUAGGCUUAUAAGCUCCAUUAUAACUGGAGUAUGCAUGCAUUUCCAGGGUUUUCUUUUCUAGAACCUUUCUCUUAUACAAAUUCUGGUUCCAGAAUGACUGAGGAAUUCUCAAACACUAACGUUGCCUAAGUGUGACCUACUGCUUCUGGAUUAUGUCUAUGCCUUUGGUUUCCCAGAUCUAUUGGCAUGGUGAAAUAUACCUAAGCAUUGGGACCAUCUCUUCUGCAAAGCCUUUUCAGCUAUCCCUGAUCUCUAGAAUUGAGGACUCCUUCAAUGCUCUCAAUGCACCCAGACAACUAACUUACUUAAUUGCUCUUAUUGACUAUAUGCUCAUUGUCCUUUACUACAUUAUAACCUCCUUGACAUUAGGGACUAAGUUUGUAUCCCAAGACAAAGCAAUUAGUAGGCAUUAGAGAAAUGUUGGCUGAAAAAAUGAAGGGAACUGCAUCUAUCACCUUUCAGAUGACAAUUCGAUGGUAAUAUCCCUGAAUGGUUUUUACUUUACACAGAAGAACAAUCAAGGUCUUGCCUGCAGACACCGCAGAAACUAUAUGUGCCUCUACAUAAAGCUGAUGCUCAGAAAGGACUGAAAAUAAUUGCUGGACGCAGAGAUACAACUAACAGAGAAAAGUACUUCUUAGUACACACUGGGGGAGAUAAGUGCCUCUUCGUGUGAAGGUAAUACUCUUUGGGGUGUUACAGGAUGAAUAAUAGCCAAAGUCAACACUUUCAAUAGAGAAGAAUGUGCCUUUUAGCAGCGGAAGAAACAAGAUCCUCAUUUGCUGACUAGUGAUAUGCUUAUUGAGAAACUACCAGAACAAGAUGACCAAGAACCUACUGCAAAAAUCUACCAGAUGACAGACAGAAGCUGCCUGAGGUCUUACCGGUUUGCCUGGCUUCAAACUCCAAUUUCCUCCCAUAUGCUAUAGAAGUGACCACAAAAGUACAUAGUAAUAGCCACAUUUUUUAUCUAGGGCCUACCACAUGACAAAUUCUAUUGUAUAUUAUCCCUAAUCCUCACAAAGACACUGUAAAGUUGUUAUUUCUGAUCUUCUGCCUAGUAGUUGAGGAAACUAAUGAUAAAAUGUCUGGAACUCCCAUGUUUAAGUUAAUUGCCUCUAAAUCCCUUCAUUUUACCAAUGUUUGUCUUACUUCAUUCUAAACUCAUUUUACCCUUUUCAGCUUUGCUAUGGUAGUCUGAAAUGAUCCCAGUUCCCCUCUUGUCUAUAUCCAUGGUCCUUUGGAUUGUGGCUUCCCAAUCAAACUAGAGAGUCUUUUUCUCCCUUUUUAUGUCUGGGAUUGGCUAUGUGACUUACUUUGGCCAAUGCGACAUAACCAACAUGAUACAAGCAGAGUCUUGCAAAAUAGUUGAUCUUUGGGAUUUCUCUGCCUAUUGUUGGGAAUCCUGUCAUAAUGAGAAUGAGCCUGUGCUAGACUGCUUGGUGAUGACAGCCAUACGGCCAUCAUCCCAGAUGACAUUAAGGUGACUAUCAAGCAUGUGACUGAGUUCCUUCCCCUAUAAAACCAACCAACUUGCUAGCUCCUAAACAUCUAACUUCAGCCAAGUUAGCACACACACAACUCAAGUAAGUGUGAGAACUGUAAUAAAUGUUUCCUGUUUUAAACUACUA